GGCAAUUUCCCAAUCCGUCAGUUUCCCGCCAAUCUACAAUCCCUAAAAUGUCGAAUUUCUCACAAAACAAAAAUUUUCAAAUUGCUAAUUACUUCCCAUUCCAAUCAUCAAAUGGCCGAGGAAGAGAACACAGAAGGGGCGAUCCGGCCCCAAUUUCCAACUGGAAGGGUCAAGAGAAUCGUGAAACUGGACAAAGACAUCAACAAAAUCAACUCAGACGCUUUAUUACUGGUUUCCCGAUCCACCGAGCUAUUUCUAAAAUUCCUCGCAGAGAAGUCGGCAGAAGUUGCAAUCGAAAAGAAGCGAAAGAUCGUGAAACUUGAUCACAUCCGAGUUGCCGUUAAGAGGCAUCAGCCAACCGGUGAUUUUCUUCUUGACUCGCUUCCCGUGACAACUCAGUUAUCCGAUAAACCACCAGCUGAGAAGACUCGUCCUGCUCCUGUGACCGAUAAACCUCUCCCUCCUGGCACUCGCCGGAUUGACUAUUUCUUCGCUAAGUCGGCAAAUGAAGCUCCGGUUCAGAUAAAUGAAAGCUAGAUGCUUUUAUUUCUAUAUUCACAUUAUUUUGCUUAGUUGAAAGUUGAAACAGAAUAUAUUUUUAGCUUUAUAAUAUAAAGAAUCUUUUUUUUUUAUCUUGUUUUGUUUGAAUUAAUUUGGUGAUUGGAUUCAUAGAUUAUUGCUCAAUGAAGUGAAAUAAUGAUUGAAAUCUUUUCG
rnacentral:misc_RNA from 1 species